rnacentral:rRNA from 1 species
UACGUAGGGUGCAAGCGUUGUCCGGAAUUAUUGGGCGUAAAGAGCUCGUAGGCGGUCUGUCGCGUCGGCUGUGAAAACUCGGGGCUCAACUCCGAGCUUGCAGUCGAUACGGGCAGGCUAGAGUUCGGCAGGGGAGGACUGGAAUUCCUGGUGUAGCGGUGAAAUGCGCAGAUAUCAGGAGGAACACCCGGUGGCUAAGGCGGUCUCUGUAC